CCCAUAUGCGCAUGCGCAGCCAGCUCCCGGCAGCCCGGAACAGGAGAUCGGUGAAACACUACAUAUCUCAACUGUCUCCUUCUUUGAUAACUUUAUUUGCCUGUGUUCCAGGUGGGUAAUCCUUCACAAACCACAUCGAGAUAUCACUAGGUGUUUAUGUCGCUUUUGGUAACGUUUGUGCUUUGAUUUGGUUCAGAUUGAUCCGUGACAUAAACUUGUAGAGAUUCAGCAGGUUGUAUCAUUGUUUUGUAUUGGGGUGUUAAGAUGGCGACUCCCACACGUGUUGCGUUCCGUCAUGUAUGGGCAUCACUCCUCCACUGUUUUAGUUAGAUUUACGUUUUGAUGUGGUUAGUGGCUGGCUCCAUUUUAUUUUUAGCUGUAGCAGUGUAGACCAUGAUGUGGGCCGACGGAGGUGCACCAUUGAGUUAUGAACCACAAUUCUUAUAUAGAGAUAAUAAUAACAUUGAUAUGAAAACACAUGGAUAGGUGGAAAUAAGGAUAAUAAUCUGAUUUAAUGUGUUUACAUGAACAUAAAAAAUGUGUUAAAAAAACCUUUCUACACGUUUCAGUCAACUGUGAGAUUUCUUUCUUUCUGUAAAAAAUCGAAGAAUUUUAUUUUAAGAUUUGAAGAAACUUUUUAAAUCAUUUUGAUGGAGUCAUAGAAACAUCAUUUUCUUGCAAGAAUAAAGUCAAAGAGAUCAUUUUCUCCCAAGAUAGAGUCUUAAGGAUCAUCUCACAAGAAUGAAGUAGUUGUAAAAUCAUUUUUUCACAUGAAUCAAAUCAAAAGGGUCAUUUUCUCAGGAGAGUCAAUUUGUACAAAUAUUUUUUAAAGGUUGCAAAAGCAUCAUUUUCUCCCAAGAAUAAAGUCGUAUUACCAUCAUUUUAACUAAAGAUAAAUAUUGUAGUGAAUUGAUUUUUAUUAGGAGAUCGAGGUAGUUGUAAAAGAAUUUUUUCACAAAAAAGCCACAUUAUAAUUUUCUUACACGUGUCUUGAGUUGUAGUACAAUCAUUUUCUUAUGUGUACGAAAUUAAAGUCAAAUCAUUUUCUCAAGUGAUUUCAGUUGUAGUUUGAUUUUUUCUUGUAAGACUACUACAUGUUUUAGCUUUUAACUGAUCCUUUUCAAAGUCAUACUUUUAUCAAUAUCAUGUUGGAUGUGCAUUAAAUACAAUUUAUGGUGACGCUUCAUGCUCGCCACUUGGCACAGGCAACGGGCUGCUCACUGUCCACCAAGAGUAAAACUUUGUGAGAAUUUUAUUCCUACAACCUUAUGCUUGUAGUAUUUUAACACAAUAAUUGAGAUUUUUUUCUUUUAAUCACUAGGAGAAAAAAAAAGAUUUUCUUCCAUGUGGCCCUAAUACUCCAUUGUACACUUUAGUAAUGGGAUACUACCCCCAAACCACCAUGAUGCUGUUAAUAAUAAGAUUUAUUUCUAUCAGUGGGUCUCCUGCAUUAGUGGCUAAAACUCAUCAUUUCCUCUCAUUGAGGGGAUGAUCCAAGGUGGGCAAUAAUAAAAACGACCUUUGUUAUCCAUCAAUCAGUUAACGGAGACAUAAACUUCCAAAAGAGUUGAUUCUGUUCAAACUAUUUAAAACAGGGCAGAACUACUGCCUGCCACAUGAUAUAAACACCAUCAACAGAAGAAAAAAUGCUUGAUAUCCAAACCUAAAACUGUUGUACAGCAGUUGAAAUAGGUGGUCAACAAUAGCCUGUAUUUUUCCUGAGGCUGCUUUCUGUCUGAGUGUCAAAUGAUGUACAGCUAUUGCAACAAGCCACAGUGAGACAAACCGAAAGCUGCAGAAAACCAACUCUGCAGUGGUCAACUCCUUAGAGAUCAGAUUAUAGCAAGCAUAUCUGCAAUAUUUAUAAGGAAGUAAGAGUCUGGCAGAAAGUUUAUUUUUCAUUCAGAGAGCAGCAUGAGUAGGAAACAGAGGUCGCUGAGUAGCAGAGAUUGGAUGGUAUGUGAAGUAUUUUUUUGAAGAGAUAACAUUUCCUCAGAUGACAUCAGUGAACAAAAAAAAGUUAGGACAACCAGCAGGUCAGACUAAACAUACCACACAGAACUUUAAGUUCACAUUGCGGCAGAGACCUUGACCAGAGUGCAUUUCCCAUUGAGUUAUAAGCUUAAGAAACCGCUCCUCAUGGGGCUCUUCAGCAAAGGUCUGUUAAUGGAUUUAAGAAGCUGCAGCAAGAAUCAGACAUUCAUGCCGACGAGACAGAGAUUUACAGAAAUAGAUUUGCUGAAUUACUGAUGUGUCUGCUUUUAUCUCUUGAUAUGGACUAAUACUGAUGCAUAAACUUCCAUUGGCUUUACAUUGCCCACCCCCACCCCCAACCCCCCACUGCACCUGUGUGCAGCAGUAAACAUCAUAUAUAUAUAUAUAUAUAUAUAUAUAUAUAUACACUCACCGGCCACUUUAUUAGGUACACCUGUCCAACUGCUCGUUAACACUUAAUUUCUAAUCAGCCAAUCACAUGGCGGCAAUUUAGUGCAUUUAGGCAUGUAGACAUGGUCAAGACAAUCUCCUGCAGUUCAAACCGAGCAUCAGUAUGGGGAAGAAAGGUGAUUUGAGUGACUUUGAACGUGGCAUGGUUGUUGGUGCCAGAAGGGCUGGUCUGAGUAUUUCAGAAACUGCUGAUCUACUGGGAUUUUCACGCACAACCAUCUCUAGGGUUUACAGAGAAUGGUCCGAAAAAGAAAAAAUAUCCAGUGAGCGGCAGUUCUGUGGGCGGAAAUGCCUUGUUGAUGCCAGAGGUCAGAGGAGAAUGGCCAGACUGGUUCGAGCUGAUAGAAAGGCAACAGUGACUCAAAUAACCACCCGUUACAACCAAGGUAGGCAGAAGAGCAUCUCUGAACGCACAGUACGUCGAACUUUGAGGCAGAUGGGCUACAGCAGCAGAAGACCACACCGGGUGCCACUCCUUUCAGCUAAGAACAGGAAACUGAGGCUAAAAUUUGCACAAGCUCAUCGAAAUUGGACAAUAGAAGAUUGGAAAAACGUUGCCUGGUCUGAUGAGUCUCGAUUUCUGCUGCGACAUUCGGCUGGUAGGGUCAGAAUUUGGCGUCAACAACAUGAAAGCAUGGAUCCAUCCUGCCUUGUAUCAACGGUUCAGGCUGGUGGUGGUGGUGUCAUGGUGUGGGGAAUAUUUUCUUGGCACUCUUUGGGCCCCUUGGUACCAAUUGAGCAUCGUUGCAACGCCACAGCCUUCCUGAGUAUUGUUGCUGACCAUGUCCAUCCCUUUAUGACAACAAUGUACCCAACUUCUGAUGGCUACUUUCAGCAGGAUAAUGCGCCAUGUCAUAAAGCUGGAAUCAUCUCAGACUGGUUUCUUGAACAUGACAAUGAGUUCACUGUACUCAAAUGGCCUCCACAGUCACCAGAUCUCAAUCCAAUAGAGCAUCUUUGGGAUGUGGUGGAACGGGAGAUUCGCAUCAUGGAUGUGCAGCCGACAAAUCUGCGGCAACUGUGUGAUGCUAUCAUGUCAAUAUGGACCAAGCUCUCUGAGGAAUGCUUCCAGCACCUUGUUGAAUCUAUGCCAUGAAGAAUUGAGGCAGUUCUGAAGGCAAAAGGGGGUCCAACCCGUUACUAGCAUGGUGUACCUAAUAAAGUGGCCGGUGAGUGUAUAUAUAUGAUGUUUACUGCUUGUCCCUUAUAACACUCAUUUGUAGCAUAUGACCAUCAUGUCCUCCUUGGUUGCCAAUUAUCUUCUUGUUAUUUGUAAAACAAAUCUCCUCCUUUUAGAUACUGCUAUUACAGGUCAUCAUUUCACUUCAAUGAUUUACCUUUCUGUGUAUCUAAUAUCAAGUGUCUGAUGUUUUUCUCAUUCCUUUAUCAUCCCAGAGUCAGUCAUAGACUUUUUAAAGGCCUUUAAUCAUUUUUUAUUAUGUCUAGACUUAAAUGAAAACAUGCUUUCUCAUCAGCUGACACACUUGACUGGUACUCACAUGGACACAUUAUUUUCCUCUCAGGAAUUUUCCCCCUUCUCCUCAGAUAGUCUCCUUGGUGCUUACUGAAUGACCGACACCUGAUCCCGUAGAGGAACCUCAGAGAUCUUCUUCCCAACCAAAACGACCUCCCUGUUUAAUGAAUAAAUAACUUUUUCAGCCCGCUAUGUCAGAUCACAGGCAAACAUGUUUUCAGUUAGUUCACGGCAGGAAGAGGCGACACAGAUACUGCUGGGGAAAUCCGAUGAGUACAGAAAUAACAUUUACGGGGGAAGAGAACAGUGUAGUGGGUUUGUUCGAGCCCUCAAGACAAAAGCGAAGGGUGUGUAUCUCAUGUGGAAUUAAAGUGAGAGGACAGAGUUUAGUUUAAAUAGAUGUUAAGUGUGCAGGAAGUCUUUUGUGGUGGAGACAGACUGAUGUCUUACAGAUAUUCCCUAUAUGCUGCUCUUCAGUUUCAAACUGCCAUGGUUUUAUAGGUUGACAAAGUUUUUCAACUCAACCAAACUUCUAUGAGCAGAUUUUUCAUCCUAAAGGUUCUGGUGUAUUUUCUUGUUUACCUUGACAUGUUUCAACUAAGUUUCUUUCAGUCUACCUCAGAGAGUUGUGAUCUUGUUAUGACUCGGCUAUCAGAGGUUUUGUUGUCCUGACUGAAUCAUGCCUGAAUUCAUAUUUUUCAGACAUUUUUCCAACAGCAUCCUCGCUAUGUGACGGGGUAGUACACCUCCUCAUUCCAUCAAAUACUGAAAUGUUGUCUUUUCUUCUUCUUAGUCAUAGAUCGACCAAGGGGUCUACAGAGGGAGAGUUGUGCCUGAUCAACUUGAAAAACAUGAAAACAUCUUCAGUGACGACCACUCAGUGUUUUUUAGAGUGCUGAGUAAUUUUGGCCUGUUUGGAUGUCCACAUAUUGGAUAUAUGUAUGUGUUUUGGCACAGAAGUCUCGAGGUGAUGGGAUGAAAUAUUUUGUUUGUUGAGGAGGUUCAUGCAUGAGCAGAACCCCCCGGGGCCCCCUUACUCAAACCAGCCCUACUCCUCAUGUCACGACCUCCCCGUGACCCUCUUCACUUCUCACUUCCCGCUCCCCACUUUCCCACCGACAUAAUAACCGUCUCCUGAUGGCCUGCGAGGCCUUUUUGAUACGACCGCCGCCACCUUAUUUAAUCUAAACUCAACAGAGAGCUGAAGGUCGAAGCCCUUUCAGAUGUUUUCCCUCUUUUCUUUCUCAAAACAAACCCGUCCCCGCUGUUUAGCCGCUACAAUGAAAAGAAUAAAAGGAAAGGCUUGUUCUCGAAUAAAAAUAAAGAGUUCGAGUUUAGACGUUGUUUAAACUGCAGGUGAAUGCUGUUUAAAGGUCACUCCAGAGGUCCCUGUUAGAGUGACAGCCUUGUCAAAUAAACAUCACGCUAAGUGUUGGUGCUUGUCUCCUCAUUUCCUCACAAAAGUUAAACAUGCUGUGGUCAUAUUUUAUGCUACUAGCUUGGACCUCUCUGGAGAAUGUGUCAUGCAUGUUUAACUGAAUUUUAAUGACUUGCGAAACAUAUUUCCUGGAAGAAAAAAAAAAGAAUUAGAG